rnacentral:snRNA from 1 species
GUGCUCACUUCAGCAACACAUAUACUAAAAUUAGAACGAUAUAGAGAAGAUUAGCCUGUCCCUUGCAUAAGGAUGACAUGCAAAUUCAUGAAGCAUUCCAUAUUUUU